UACGGAGGGUGCGAGCGUUGUCCGGAAUCACUGGGCGUAAAGGGCGCGUAGGCGGCCUGAUAAGUAGGGGGUGAAAUCCUGCGGCUUAACCGCAGGGCUGCCUUCUAAACUGUCAGGCUUGAGCACAGUAGAGGCAGGUGGAAUUCCCGGUGUAGCGGUGGAAUGCGUAGAGAUCGGGAAGAAUAUCAGUGGCGAAGGCGGCCUGCUGGGCUGUUGCUGACGCUGAGGCGCGACAGCGUGGGGAGCAAACAGG
rnacentral:rRNA from 1 species